rnacentral:rRNA from 1 species
CAGUCGAGCGAAGCAUUUGGAAGGAAGUUUUCGGAUGGAAUUCCAGAUGACUUAGCGGCGGACGGGUGAGUAACGCGUGGAAAACCUGCCUCAUACAGGGGGAUAACAGUCAGAAAUGUCUGCUAAUACCCCAUAAGCGCACAGUUCCGCAUGGGACAGUGUGAAAAACUCCGGUGGUAUGGGAUGGUUCCGCGUCUGAUUAGCUAGUUGGCGGGGUAAAGGCCCACCAAGGCGACGAUCAGUAGCCGGCCUGAGAGGGUGACCGGCCACAUUGGGACUGAGACACGGCCCAAACUCCUACGGGAGGCAGCAGUGGGGAAUAUUGCACAAUGGGGGAAACCCUGAUGCAGCGACGCCGCGUGAGUGAAGAAGUAUUUCGGUAUGUAAAGCUCUAUCAGCAGGGACGAAAAUGACGGUACCUGACUAAGAAGCCCCGGCUAACUACGUGCCAGCAGCCGCGGUAAUACGUAGGGGGCAAGCGUUAUCCGGAUUUACUGGGUGUAAAGGGAGCGUAGACGGCAAGGCAAGUCUGGAGUGAAAGCCCGGGGCUCAACCGCGGGACUGCUCUGGAAACUGCCUUGCUGGAGUGCUGGAGAGGCAAGCGGAAUUCCUAGUGUAGCGGUGAAAUGCGUAGAUAUUAGGAGGAACACCAGUGGCGAAGGCGGCUUGCUGGACAGUAACUGACGUUGAGGCUCGAAAGCGUGGGGAGCAAACAGGAUUAGAUACCCUGGUAGUCCACGCGGUAAACGAUGAAUGCU